GAUGAAGAACGCAGCGAAAUGCGAUAAGUAAUGUGAAUUGCAGAAUUUAGUGAAUCAUCGAAUCUUUGAACGCAUAUUGCGCCCGCCAGCACUCUGGCGGGCAUGCCUGUUCGAGCGUCAUUUCAACCCUCAGGCCUCGCGUCUGGCGUUGGGGCGCUGCGGCCCUCCCGCAGGCCCCCAAAUUUAGCGGCGGAUUCCCCGCGGCCCUGAGCGCAGUAGAGAGUAAAAACUUUAACGCUCCGGCGGCCGUGGCGCGGUUCUGCCUCUUUCCCAAUAGCGCCAAUAGCGCCACCCCCAAAAAAGUUGACCUCGGAUCAGGUAGGACUACCCGCUGAACUUAAGCAUAUCAAAAGCGGAGGA
rnacentral:misc_RNA from 1 species